rnacentral:lncRNA from 1 species
CUCACAUCCUCUUUAAGCAGCCUCUGGAGAAGGGGAGUCCUGAGGGGUUGGGGUCAGAGAGAGACUUGGCUCUUGUUCCGUCCUGACGCUCCAUCCCCUUCUGGGCCCAUUUCUUCCUUUGCACUGUGGAUUUCCAUUGUGCUUUGCUCACAGGAGUUAACAGCACCCUGUCAGGCCCUGUAGCUGUGGAAGCCAGAGAUGGUUCCCUUCUUCCAACAUAUGGAUUGUGAGAAUCAAACUUAGGUGAUCGAACUUGGCAUCUCAUUAGCCUUAACAUUUGCUAAAAACAAAACAAAAACAACAAACAAACAACAAAAACCACAGCCUGCUAAAAUGCGUUCAGAGCUCAGCGUUCUUCACCUUCCGCCUAAGGUCAUUGUUAAAGUGGGAGGACUCGGGUUACUCAUCUCACAGAUGACACAUUUAAUUGGCAAGCAAGGAAGAUGAUACCACAGCUUUGGGUCCAGGUUUAAAUAUUGCCUGUUAAAGGAUUAGAGCGAAUACGGGUCUUUCAGCCUUAAGGAGGUCCAUGCUGUGAUCCAGGGUAGACAUUCAGGAUUUCAUCACGGAAGGCAGGAAGAACCUUUCAGUCUGAGACUGCGGAAUGAGAAGACAUCCACCCCUCCCAUUCCCAUAAAGUGCCUAGCAAAUUCCUUAAUGCCCUGCAGAUGGCACCACCGACAAGGAGUUCUCUGUCCAGGAAAGCCAAGCCAAGCCAAGCCUUGGGAACUCAGCCUGCCCUUGCCAUCACCUUGGAGCUACUGGAGGAAGCCGUGCCUGGUGUUCCAUCACAGUGAAUGAAGCAACCUCAUACCCAAGAAGUUUCUCGACCUGAGACCCAAACUCUCCACUCCUACUCCA